rnacentral:lncRNA from 1 species
GUGAACUCCGGGAGUUGGUGAUGGACAGGGAGGCCUGGCGUGCUGCGAUUCUGGGGUUGCAAAGAGUUGGACACGACUGAGCGACUGAUCUGAUCUGAUCUGAUCUGAGUGUGUGUGAAAUGUUAUCUGACUGUGGUUUGAUUUGUAUUUUUCUAGUGACUAAAGAUGUUGAGCAUCUUUUCAUCUGUCAGUUUCUGGCCCUGCCAGGUUUGGGGUGCCCAAGCUGGGAUACCAGGACGUGAUAGUAUUUACAACACUGCUGUUGACUCCUUCCCAUCAAGCCUAAAGAGGACCUGGUCUCAUGCUAAGCUCCAUGCUGGUCAUCACCUCCUCCUGAAAUGCUCCGCUUUCUCGCCAGGCAGAAGCCAUUCUUCCCUUUCGUGUCUAAAGUUCUCCUUUGCCUUGGGAUAAGAAGAAAAUAUAUUUAGUUCAACAAACACUUACUGAAGUACCUUCAGUGUGUCAGCCUCCGUGCUCAGUACUCAGGACUCAGAAAUGAAUGCACUAAACCCUCGGCCCUUGAGAAAUUUAACUGGAACUUGAGACAGAGAACCACAGUGCUUAGCCUUGUGCCCUGUUAUCUCAUUUAAUCUUCACCCUAAAUCUGCUCUUCUAGGGGUCAAGGCUGUGUCUCUUUUCUCCACGUUAUCCUCAGCACCAAGCACAAUGCCAUGGUCCUGGGAAAAGCUGUGACUCAGAGAAUAACUGAUUGCUUAAAACCUCCCUGAAAGGUAGGCACCUUUUUCUUCUUUACAGAUGAAGAACUGAGGUUGACAGAGACUAAGUAGCCUCUCCUAAGGUUUCCUAGUAGUGAUGACUUUGGUCCUUUGUUUCCAAGCCCUUGGUUUUUUCCUCCCUUGUAGCACUUCUUCACCUUCUAGGCCCGGUUUUCUCACCUGUAAAUUCAGGGGAUCAGACUGAAUGAUUCUGGAUGCUCUAGACAAUUCUGGAUGAUCCUGGACUAUCCCUUCAAGUUCUGAAUUUCAUAGCCAAUCUCCAAAGUUGAUGUUAGAAUGCAUAUACCCAUUUUCUCUGGAAGGAUUUUUAUAUGUUGUUAUUUUUAACCUGCAUUUCUGUUACCCUUAUUACACCACCAGCUCUUGGAGCUUAAUAUUUCAUUUUGUAACUCAUUUGUAGCACCCUCAGAUCUGUGUUCUAUGCUCAAAGACUUCUCAUUUUUUAUAGUUCAUGACUCUCUAUAAACAUGCUUUAUUUAUGCUAAGUAAGUCAUACACACUUCACUUCCCCAAACCAGAUUUUUUUCCUAUUUUCUCUCAAAAAUGGCAGCAUGAUUUGAGUGCUCUUUGGCAGGCAUCAAAGGUUCUCAUGUCAUAGGAUACAGAAAAUAUUUAUUGAAAAUAACGAUUCUUAAUUUUGAAAGGAAAAACACAGACUUCAAAAUUUUGUGGGA